rnacentral:rRNA from 1 species
UGGGGCUGCCCGACGGGGAAGUUCCCGGUGAAGUUCGACGCGAGGCAGACGUGCUACCUGGUGAAGGGCAAGGUGAGGGCGCACAUCAAGGGGUCGUCCGAGUGCGUGGAGUUCGGCGCCGGCGACCUCGUCGUCUUCCCCAAGGGGCUCAGCUGCACCUGGGACGUGGUCGCCGCCGUCGACAAGUACUACAAGUUCGAUUCGUCUUGA